rnacentral:rRNA from 1 species
AUCGGGGCAGGGUGAGUCGACCCCUAAGGCGAGGCCGAAAGGCGUAGUCGAUGGGAAACAGGUUAAUAUUCCUGUACUUGGUGUUACUGCGAAGGGGGGACGGAGAAGGCUAUGUUGGCCGGGCGACGGUUGUCCCGGUUUAAGCGUGUAGGCUGGUUUUCCAGGCAAAUCCGGAAAAUCAAGGCUGAGGCGUGAUGACGAGGCACUGCGGUGCUGAAGCAACAAAUGCCCUGCUUCCAGGAAAAGCCUCUAAGCAUCAGGUAACAUCAAAUCGUACCCCAAACCGACACAGGUGGUCAGGUAGAGAAUACCAAGGCGCUUGAGAGAACUCGGGUGAAGGAACUAGGCAAAAUGGUGCCGUAACUUCGGGAGAAGGCACGCUGAUAUGUAGGUGAAGUCCCUCGCGGAUGGAGCUGAAAUCAGUCGAAGAUACCAGCUGGCUGCAACUGUUUAUUAAAAACACAGCACUGUGCAAACACGAAAGUGGACGUAUACGGUGUGACGCCUGCCCGGUGCCGGAAGGUUAAUUGAUGGGGUUAGCGCAAGCGAAGCUCUUGAUCGAAGCCCCGGUAAACGGCGGCCGUAACUAUAACGGUCCUAAGGUAGCGAAAUUCCUUGUCGGGUAAGUUCCGACCUGCACGAAUGGCGUAAUGAUGGCCAGGCUGUCUCCACCCGAGACUCAGUGAAAUUGAACUCGCUGUGAAGAUGCAGUGUACCCGCGGCAAGACGGAAAGACCCCGUGAACCUUUACUAUAGCUUGACACUGAACAUUGAGCCUUGAUGUGUAGGAUAGGUGGGAGGCUUUGAAGUGUGGACGCCAGUCUGCAUGGAGCCGACCUUGAAAUACCACCCUUUAAUGUUUGAUGUUCUAACGUUGACCCGUAAUCCGGGUUGCGGACAGUGUCUGGUGGGUAGUUUGACUGGGGCGGUCUCCUCCUAAAGAGUAACGGAGGAGCACGAAGGUUGGCUAAUCCUGGUCGGACAUCAGGAGGUUAGUGCAAUGGCAUAAGCCAGCUUGACUGCGAGCGUGACGGCGCGAGCAGGUGCGAAAGCAGGUCAUAGUGAUCCGGUGGUUCUGAAUGGAAGGGCCAUCGCUCAACGGAUAAAAGGUACUCCGGGGAUAACAGGCUGAUACCGCCCAAGAGUUCAUAUCGACGGCGGUGUUUGGCACCUCGAUGUCGGCUCAUCACAUCCUGGGGCUGAAGUAGGUCCCAAGGGUAUGGCUGUUCGCCAUUUAAAGUGGUACGCGAGCUGGGUUUAGAACGUCGUGAGACAGUUCGGUCCCUAUCUGCCGUGGGCGCUGGAGAACUGAGGGGGGCUGCUCCUAGUACGAGAGGACCGGAGUGGACGCAUCACUGGUGUUCGGGUUGUCAUGCCAAUGGCACUGCCCGGUAGCUAAAUGCGGAAGAGAUAAGUGCUGAAAGCAUCUAAGCACGAAACUUGCCCCGAGAUGAGUUCUCCCUGACUCCUUGAGAGUCCUGAAGGAACGUUGAAGACGACGACGUUGAUAGGCCGGGUGUGUAAGCGCAGCGAUGCGUUGAGCUAACCGGUACUAAUGAACCGUGAG